UCCUGGGCUCACCCUGGAGAACGCUCUCUAAGUCACCCACACACAUCUCAGUUUCAGUGUUCCAGUCGAUCGAUCGGAGCCCACGGCUCUGUGUCCUACGCCCGUGCUUUCUUGUCAGGGCAAGGCCUUGGCCUCCUGCGGUGGCGGCUUCUUCCCCGGAGCCUCCCCUGAUUCUCAUGUGUCCUAAAAGAGGGAGGGUGACCUUUGGGAUGAGGUGCCUGGAGAGUCUCCACUGCUUGUGGCUGACCCGGCACAAGCCUGCCGCGAGUCUUCCCGGGGCGGGUGGAUCGGCACCGUGCGGGGCGGGAGCUCGACCCACCCAGGUGGUGGGCAGCCACCCCGGGGCACGCAGCCGUGUUUGCCCUCCCAUUGUUGGCGCGGCUGCUGGGUCCAGUCAUCUGGGCGGUGGAGGGCUGCCCUGUUGGUGACUCAGCGCUGCCCAAGGAAGCCGACUCUGCCACCUGGGUUGGACCUGUUUCCCAACCUGCUUGAUUUGGGGGAAGGAGUCCACAGGGAUGCUUUGGCAGGGACGCUUUCCCACAGUGCUUUCCCUUUCCAGAUCUUGAAUGUGACCCCCAGUGGCUGAGGAGGAGAAAUGGGGAUGGUGCGGGCAAGGGGAGCUUUUAUAGGUUCCUCACCUACUCCUCCCCUCCCCAAAUCCUUGUGUCGUUGUGGAAACUUCUUGUGCAGGGGCCCAGUUGCCUAAUGAUGGGAGAGUGUGUGGUGGCGCCCCUUGCCGAGUGGCUCUUUCCCAUGAAUGUUCAUGGGUGACAAGUGUGGCUGGAAUGCUUGGGCCACCUUUUUUCUUGUGUUUAAACCUAUGCAAAUCGACUCAAUGUGGUUAUGGUGGAGCUUUUACCUCAUACAUUCUUUGUCCUGUUUUAAUUGCCCCUUAAGCGCCCCCACUACUGCCCAAUGGGUUCUCUUGCCCUACUGGAUGGAACAGCAAACUCUUUUGAAGGAUUUUUUGCCCACGGGAAACAGCACAUAGAAAUGGCCACUGUUUCUAUUAGUUUGUUCUUAAUUCAAGUGAAAAUUUGACUGUUAACGAAUUUCCCAUUUAUAUGUGCACAACAGGGAUUGUGUGGGAUUCUUAAUCUACUUAACGCUUUCAUUCUGGGUUUUUACAAGGUAUAACAGCAGGUGUUGAGCUUCUGAGGCACCUAGCUGACCUCAUAACAUACCAUUCAGAAAGUAAGGCUUUCCAUUUGGUUGAACACCCUUCCUUUGUUUGUUUGUUUGUUUGUUUUGUUUUGUUUUCGCUCUUGAUUUUCCUUUUCGCUGUAGCUUCAAGGUCCUUUCAAGAAGUGGCAGCUCUCAUCUCCUGGGAGUUGGAAGCUGUUUUAACUGUGCCUCUGAAUAAGGACUUAAUUGAAACAGGUGAACUCUUGGAUUUUAAAGUAUGCAGCCAUCGUGGUCCCUGGUCAUACACGAUCUUCUCGUUCUUAGAUGCCAGGCAGAAAUUGCUCAGCUCCUGCCCGCCCCCAUCAUCAAUACAAGCUAUGUAUUUUCCUUGGGAGUUGAUCUCCAAUGCUUCAGAUGUCUUGGACAAAAUUCACUAUGAUACCUGAGAGACCCUUCUAAGUUGGAUGACAGUAAAAUGCUAAAAAUUAACAUCAUCUCCAACCCUAAGAAGGGCAGGCUGGCCCUGCUGGACAGACAUUGGCAUGACCAAGGCUGACUUGGUAAAUAAAUUAGAGAUUAUUGCUAAGUCUAGCACAAAAACUUUCAUGGAGGCCAUGAUCCUGUAAGUCAUCAACAAAAACAUUGUGAAGAAGAGCCUUCAACUGUUCUGAGUUGGCAGAAAACAAAGAGAAGUAAAAGAAAUUCUAUGAAACACUCCCCAAGAAUUUAAGGAAUUAGCUAGCCACAGGCUCCGUUCUCAGCAAAGGGGCACAUUGCUUGACCCCAGCUGUAGCCGCUGUGACUCCACAUUCCAGAGCACUACCUCUGCCUGCCUGAGUUGUGCAGGAGGACACCUCUUACAGUGCACUGUGGUUGCUGAUGGAGAGACAUGUUAACUACGGAGAACAAGUAACUAUUGCAUUGGCAUGGUAGUCCAGAUCUCA